rnacentral:rRNA from 1 species
UACGUAGGUGGCAAGCGUUGUCCGGAUUUACUGGGCGUAAAGAGCGCGCAGGCGGUCGUUCAAGUCGCGUGUGAAAGCCCCCGGCUCAACUGGGGAGGGUCACGCGAUACUGAUCGACUCGAAGGCAGGAGAGGGUAGUGGAAUUCCCGGUGUAGUGGUGAAAUGCGUAGAUAUCGGGAGGAACACCAGUGGCGAAGGCGCCUUGCUGGCCGAUUUCUGACGCUGAGGCGCGAAAGCGUGGGGAGCAAACAGG